ACCCGCUGAACUUAAGCAUAUCAAUAAGCGGAGGAAAAGAAACCAACCGGGAUUACCUCAGUAACGGCGAGUGAAGCGGUAACAGCUCAAAUUUGAAAUCUGGCUCCGUCGGAGUCCGAGUUGUAAUUUGGAGAAGAUGCUUUGGGUUGUGGGUUCGGCCUAAGUUCCUUGGAACAGGACUGUCAUAGAGGGUGAGAAUCCCGUAUGUGGUCGAGGCCCUGCGCCCGUGUAAAGCUCUUUCGACGAGUCGAGUUGUUUGGGAAUGCAGCUCAAAAUGGGUGGUAAAUUUCAUCUAAAGCUAAAUAUGGGCCAGAGACCGAUAGCGCACAAGUAGAGUGAUCGAAAGAUGAAAAGCACUUUGGAAAGAGAGUUAAACAGUACGUGAAAUUGUUGAAAGGGAAGCGCUUGCAACCAGACUUGGGCGCUGCCUGAUCAUCCAGAGAUCUCUCUGGUGCACUCGACAGCGCACAGGCCAGCAUCGGUUCGGAUGGCUGGAGAAAGACUGGAGGAACGUAGCUCCCUUUCGGGGGAGUGUUUUAUAGCCUCUGGUGCCAUACAGCCCAGCCGGACCGAGGACCGCGCCUUCGGGCUAGGAUGCUGGCGUAAUGGUUGUAAGCGACCCGUCUUGAAACACGGACCAAGG
rnacentral:rRNA from 1 species